CUCCAAGGACCCAGAGCUGGCUGCUGCAGGAAGUCCUAGAUCACAACUCUGCAGUUCCUCUUCCCAGGUCUUGCUUUUAACUACUGUACCCAACACAAAGCCUCCCUUGCAGGCUUACCAGAGCAAGAAAAUGAAAUGGCCACCUCCUGUAACAAGAAAGACUUCUAGAAGAGGUAGGAGACAUCAAUACAUUCACAAAACCUUCAACUCGAAAUCUGUCUGGCCAAUAAGUGUGCAGGGAUAAAGACAGAAAAGUAGCACACCUGUCUCCAGAGGCUUCACUCAGCAGCUGAAAGCCACAGCCAAUCCUCAGAUGGAGCUCGGGAAGUCUUGUGGAAGAGUGGGGGAGAGUGCCAAGCAAACUGGUUGGGUUAAAACACUACAAGAAGCCCCCUACCGUCAGAUACUUUAGACCAUGGAGUAUGCUAGAGCCUGUGCAACCAACCCCAGUGCCGGGUUAGCUAUCUGCCGUUGGUCUCCAUGUGGGUCAUCUGACAAGUAGAUCCAAGACUGUCUCAGUCUGUGUUGCCUGCCAUUGGAUCUGUUCCCCAUACCCGGACUGCCUGAUUGUAAAUCUGUGGGGCAGAAUGUGCUCGGGCCACCUGGGACUAGAUGUCCCAGGGUGGUGUCGUACCCAAGGGACUCUCCCCUUGUCCAAAGAGAAGUGAGAGCAUUAUGGUAGAAAGGAUUUGUAAGGUCGGACUGGGAAGGGAAGAGGGAUAGUGACUGGGAUCAGGAUGUAACCUGAAUAAAGAAGAAAUUAUUGGAACUAAAAAAGUUAGCCUGGAAAAUGGAAAGAUUGAUAAGUGGCUAAGAGCACUGAAUGCUCUUCCAGAGGUCCUGAGUUCAAAUCCCAGCAAACACAUGGAGGCUCACAAAUGUCUCUAAUGACAUCUGAUGCCCUCUCUGGUCUUUCUAAAUACAGCUACCCUGUACGUAUGUAUAACGAAUGAUUGAAUGAAUGAAUGAAUGAAUGAAUGAAUGAAUAAAUAAAUAAAUAAAUUUUACCUAGUCUUAGUUAUCAGGCAAUGAAUAAAAUGUUGAGAAAAUGUUCAAACCCAUGUCAUGGAUUGCCUGGAUCUUUUAGAUCUGCAGGAAACAUCUCAAGGAAGAACAAGAGAGGGUGGAGAAGAAUGGGGAAGGGUUUGAUCCCUGAAGUUCCUCAGUGUCCACUAUCACAGCACUUGUCUUUGGGAGGUGACAUCUUUCACUCUUCCAGACUGUCUCACCAAUCAGAAUUACAGGCUCUGUGGAUUAACCUGUAAAAGAGGACAGUUGCUCUUGGGCCAAUAUGGAGGUUCCUGACCUCUCAGUAAGCUCACUGCUGACUUUUGAGGUCUCUGGAUGGUGAGCAAAAUGAAGAAACACAGAGUAGCCUCAGGUUGAGUCAGCCAGGCCCAGAGGGCUCAGUGGUGUCUCUCAGAUUCCCAGGCCCUCCCUGAGAUUGAACACUCUACACAGUGUAAGAGGAAUAGGGGAUAACCAGGAAAUGCAGUUGCUCAGGUGGCUGACUCUGUAGGAGGG
ensembl:lncRNA